AGUGAACGCUGGCGGUAGGCCUAACACAUGCAAGCCGAACGGCAGCACAGUAAGAGCUUGCUCUUACGGGUGGCGAGUGGCGGACGGGUGAGGAAUACAUCGGAAUCUACUUUUUCGUGGGGGAUAACGUAGGGAAACUUACGCUAAUACCGCAUACGACCUACGGGUGAAAGCAGGGGAUCUUCGGACCUUGCGCGAUUGAAUGAGCCGAUGUCGGAUUAGCUAGUUGGCGGGGUAAAGGCCCACCAAGGCGACGAUCCGUAGCUGGUCUGAGAGGAUGAUCAGCCACACUGGAACUGAGACACGGUCCAGACUCCUACGGGAGGCAGCAGUGGGGAAUAUUGGACAAUGGGCGCAAGCCUGAUCCAGCCAUACCGCGUGGGUGAAGAAGGCCUUCGGGUUGUAAAGCCCUUUUGUUGGGAAAGAAAAGCAGCAGGUUAAUACCCCGCUGUUCUGACGGUACCCAAAGAAUAAGCACCGGCUAACUCGU
rnacentral:rRNA from 1 species